AAUGUAUGACGCCAUUGACUUUUUGUCCAACGUUUGACCAUUCGUCUUAUUCAAAAAAUUUAUGUGAUUAUUAUUUAUUUUAAUGUGACUUGAUUCAUCAUCAAAUGUUUUUUAAGCAUGACAUAAAUAUUUUUAUAUUUACAUAAAAUUUUUUAAUAAAACGAAUGGUCAAACAUUGUUCGAAAAGUUAACGGCGUCGUACAUU
rfam:Oryza sativa Japonica Group DNA, chromosome 10, cultivar: Nipponbare, complete sequence.